rnacentral:rRNA from 1 species
GAUGAACGCUGGCGGCGUGCCUAAUACAUGCAAGUAGAACGCUGAAGGAAGGAGCUUGCUCUUUCCGGAUGAGUUGCGAACGGGUGAGUAACGCGUAGGUAACCUGCCUGGUAGCGGGGGAUAACUACUGGAAACGAUAGCUAAUACCGCAUAACAGUAGAUGUUGCAUGAUAUCUACUUAAAAGGUGCAAUUGCACCACUACCAGAUGGACCUGCGUUGUAUUAGCUAGUUGGUGAGGUAACGGCUCACCAAGGCGACGAUACAUAGCCGACCUGAGAGGGUGAACGGCCACACUGGGACUGAGACAAGGCCCAGACUCCUACGGGAGGCAGCAGGAGGGAAUCUUCGGAAAUGGGCGGAAGUCUGACCGAGCAACGCCGCGUGAGGGAAGAAGGUUUUCGGAUCGUAAAGCUCUGUUGUAAGAGAAGAACGAGUGUGAGAGUGGAAAGCUCACACUGUGACGGUAUCUAACCAGAAAGGGACGGCUAACUACGUG